UCCUUGGUAGCUUAGUGGUUAAGGAUUUGGCAUUGCAACUGCUGUGGCUCAGGUUUGAUCCCUGGCCCAGGAA
rnacentral:tRNA from 1 species